UACGAAGGGGGCUAGCGUUGCUCGGAAUCACUGGGCGUAAAGCGCACGUAGGCGGAUCUUUAAGUCAGGGGUGAAAUCCUGGAGCUCAACUCCAGAACUGCCUUUGAUACUGGGGAUCUCGAGUCCGGAAGAGGUGAGUGGAACUCCGAGUGUAGAGGUGAAAUUCGUAGAUAUUAGGAAGAACACCAGUGGCGAAGGCGGCUCACUGGCUCGGUACUGACGCUGAGGCGCGAAAGCGUGGGGAGCAAACAGG
rnacentral:rRNA from 1 species